CCUCGGGGGGCAGCAGUGGGGAAUAUUGGACAAUGGGCGAAAGCCUGAUCCAGCCAUGCCGCGUGUGUGAAGAAGGCCUUCGGGUUGUAAAGCACUUUCAGUGGGGAAGAAAGCCUUGGGGCUAAUACCCUCGAGGAAGGACAUCACCCACAGAAGAAGCACCGGCUAACUCCGUGCCAGCAGCCGCGGUAAUACGGAGGGUGCGAGCGUUAAUCGGAAUUACUGGGCGUAAAGCGCGCGUAGGCGGUCUGAUAAGCCGGUUGUGAAAGCCCCGGGCUCAACCUGGGAACGGCAUCCGGAACUGUCAGGCUAGAGUGCAGGAGAGGAAGGUAGAAUUCCCGGUGUAGCGGUGAAAUGCGUAGAGAUCGGGAGGAAUACCAGUGGCGAAGGCGGCCUUCUGGACUGACACUGACGCUGAGGUGCGAAAGCGUGGGUAGCAAACAGGAUUAGAUACCCGAGUAGUC
rnacentral:rRNA from 1 species